ensembl:lncRNA novel transcript
AGACGCAAGCUGCGGGCGACAUUGUUUGGGAUGCUGGGUUCUGCUUUUCCAGAAUCCUGCCCUUUCCAAAAGGAAGACAGUAUGAUUAAGUUCCAGGAAAGGGCGACAUUCAAGGACAUAGCUGUUAUCUUCACCAAGGAAGAGCUGGCAGUAUUGGAUAAAUCCCAGAUAAACCUGUACCAAGAUGUGAUGCUGGAAAACUUCAGGAACCUCAUCUCAGUGGGGUCUUGCUCUGUCAUCCAGGUGGCUGGAGUGCAGUGGCCUGAUCAUGGCUUGCUGCUGAAGCCUUGAACUGCUGGGCUCAAGUGAUCCUCCUGCCUCAGCCUCCUGAGUAGCUGGGACUACAGGCAUAUACCACCAUGUUCAGCUAAUGUUUUCUUUUAAAAAUUUACUUGUAGAGAUGGGGUCUUGCUUUGUUGCCCAGGUUAGUCUCAUUCUGGUUUCAAGCGAUCCUCCUACCUCAGCUUCCCAAAGUGCAGGGAUUACAAGUGUGGGCCACUGCACUCAGCCCACAAUGUCUUUUAUUUUUUCUUCAAAAACAAUGUCCUUUUCUGUUUUAAUUGACUUAUAAGUUUCUUCAUUUGGAUCAUGGUUUAUUCCUAGUUUUUCUUGCAUUAUAUUUUCCUGCCAGUUAUAGUUUGUAAACAGAACAGCCAUUCAAGUGCAAAUAAAACCAUCCCUGAAGUGUCAUUUUCUUACUGAGCAGGUGGAUAAGAGUGAAAUAUUUUAAAAAUUCUGUGUCAGUAGAAAUGAGGAAAUGAGUGUUCUUACAUAAGUUGGUGGGGGAAAAAAACAGGUACCAAGUUGCUGGAGAGGAUCUUGUCUAUAUGUAUCAGAUGUACAAUGUGCAUUGUCUUUGAGCCAAUGAUCCUGCUUCUCAGAAUGUAUUUUUAGGAUGUAAUUACAUGAGUGGAAAAAGAUGGUUUCAGAAAGAAAUAUGUUCUAAGAAUUUUGCAAUAAGAAGACCAUAAAUGACCUGAAGCUUCAUGUAUAAGAGAUUAAGUAAAUUAGGGCAUCCCAUAUAAUGGAAUAACAUGGCUCCAUCAACAAUGAUCUAGACCUAUAAAAAUGUCCACAUAUUAUUGUCCAUGUCCACCACAUACUCCAGUCCUCCUACUUGCAAACAGUAGGUUAGAGAAAAGAUCUGGGAUACACAUUAUCCCAGGAAGCUUUUGGGGUUUAGAAUGGGUGCAACAUUCCCUCAUGACAGAAUUGGCCCUCAGCCUUGGUCGAGGUGUCCCAGGCAAUCCUCCAGUUUGGCCAGGAGCAGCACUUGCAUAUCACAUUAAGCUUUUUAAAUAUAUGAUGCUAACAGGAUUGUCUCCCUACUUCAUAAAAUUGUUUGCUUUUCCUCUUGUAACAAAGUAGCAUGGAAAAAGCAGAAAUUAGUCUAGCUCCCAAUCAGUGGGAGCCAACUCAUUUACAAAUAUAGAUGCAGAGAUCCUAAAUAAAUAUGAGCAUGUCAAAUCCAAUGAUUUGAUAAAAGCAUAACAGACUCUGCUCAUGUAUAAUUUAUCCUAAAUAUGCUUAUCAGCUUCUGCCUCAUAACACACACAAGAACUGAGUAGCUCUACAUACAAAUUUAUUUAGCUCAUGAUGUGUGAGCUGGCAAGUUCAGUUCGGCUUAGCUGGGCAGUUCUGGUGUGGGACAUGCUAGAUUAUCUUAACUGGGCUUUGUACAUGCAUCUGCAUUCAGCUGAUGGCUCAUCUGGGCCUGGCUAUUUUAUGAUGGUCAUAGAUGAGACAACGAAGUUCUCUCUGUCAUCAUGGUCUCUCAUCAUCCAGAAGACCAAUCUAGGGUUGGUCCCAUAGUGCCAGGGUUUCAAGAGCAAAAGCUGUGAUCUCUUAAGGCCUCAUCAGAGAACAGGCUCAAUGAUACUUCCACCACAUUCUAAUGAUUAAAGCAAGUCACAACACUGGCCCAGAUUCUUGCGGUGGGAUUAAGACAAGAUAAAAAAUGUUGAGACGUAAUCAUUGGAAGGAAAAAGAAGGUACUAUUUUUAUGUUAGAGAAUAAUGUUAUUUACUUAUAAAAUUCAAAUCUGCCUGUAAAAUUUGACCAAUUGAAGUAUGUUUUAAAAUUAUCAGUUCAAAAAAUUGGUUUCAUACAAAAUUGGCACAUGAAAAUUCAUAGCAUUACUAUUUAAGAGUCUUUUAUAAAAUGUAGCCAAAAUGUUUCAUUCACAAUAACAAUUGUGUGCAAAGACCAGAAUUCUCCAAAGGUAAUUCUGGGAGUUCCCUUUGGGAUGCCUAGGUGAGUAGCUAUCUGGAGCCUCAGACUCCCACAUUCUUCAGUGGGAAAAGCUUUACAUGAGCUCAACUUCCUAGCGGCUUUCUCUUUCUGAUGGGAGGUGUUAGAACCUGGCUUUCUCAUGCAACUUCUGUGAAGCUCUGACAACUAAAGCCAGAUUGUCUGCUUUAGUCAAUCUGUUAGAUCAAUUAGUCAUUUGAUCUGACAACUAAAGCCAGAUUGUCUGCUUUAGUUAAGUAGUCCAGAUUACCUGCAUAGUCAAUUUGUUCCCUCACCAACAUGGAUGCCUUCACAAUUGCUCUUUAAGAAGGAUAAAAAGAUAGGGGUGAGGUGUGGUCUAUCUCCUGCUUCACUCAGGCCCUGGUGCUUCCUCAAGUGGUGUGAGAAACUGUGGUCCUGUGCGUUCUCUUCCAGACCCUUAGCUUAUAUAUUUUCCCUAUAAAACUUAGUCCUAAUCCCAGCAUUUUGGGAGGCCGAGGAGGGUAAAUCAUGAGAUCAGGAGUUUGAGACCAGCCUGGCCAACAUAGUGAAACUCCGUCUCUAAAAAAUUAGCUGGGCAUAGUGGCAGGCACCUGUAAUCCCAGCUACUCAGGAGGCUGAGGCUUGAGCCCAGGAGGUGGAGGUUGCAAUGAGCCGAGAUCACACCACAGCACUCCAGCCCAGGCGGCAGUGAGAGACUGUCUC